AUAACCCAGUACCAGGCAGUGCUAUUAGACAACCCUGCAAUCCAGCUUCAAAAAACCACCUGUUUAAAUUAAGCCACUCAGUUACCAACCUUGCCUCAGACAGGACCCAUCCAUGACUGUGUGCAGACCCUUGACCUUGUCUAUGCCAGCAGCCAGACUUGCAGGAUCACCAUAUUAAUGAUCCUGAACUUGAGCUCUACACAGAUGGAGGCAGCUUUGUUGAAAAUGGACAGUGAAAGGCUGAUAUGCUGUGGUCACUCUGGAUGAAGUCCUAGAAGCACAAGCCCUCCCCAUCGGGACUUCAGCUCAAAAAGUGGAGCUCAUCACCAUGACCCAGGCCUUAAGACUGGCGAGAGAUACUUUCACCAACUGGAUUGAAGAUUUUCCAUGCUGAACCAAGAAGUUCACUGAGGUAGUCAAAAGACUCCUAGAAGAAAUCACGCCAAGGUUUGAGUUGCCCUGAUCCAUUGGAAGUGACAAUGGGCCUCAUUUUAUUGCAAAAAUUACUCAAGAUGUGGUGACUGCAUUGGACAUCAAUUGGAAUCUGCAUUCAGCCUGGAGACCCCAAUCCAGGGGAAUGGUCAAAAGAGCUAACCACCAGCUCAAGAGGCAUGCUCAUCUCUGCGACCCCGAUCUAGCACCUGAGGUCCCUCUGGACUCCAUCCAGCCCAGUGACUGCGUCAUGAUCAAAACGUGGAAGUCUGAUAUCCUACAGGAAAAGUGGACUGGACCCUUUGAAGUUCUCCUCACCAUCCCUACUGUGGUCAAAGUCAGUGGAAUGAGCACCUGAAUUCAUCAUACC